rnacentral:rRNA from 1 species
UUGACAGACAGGCCAUAGAACAGCUGUAUGUAUACAAUUGUUAUUAUUUAAAUAAUACAAUUAGGAGCGCCGCUUCUGCGUCGUGUGUAAACUGUCUAAGGCUUCAUACACAGGCACUAUCUCUCAGAUUAUGUUGCAGGUGGUGCAUGGCCGUUGUUAGUUCGUGGAGUAAUCUGUCUGCUUAAUUGCGUUUCGUACAAGUACUCACUCAAUCCUGGACGUAUCUCAAUUAUAUGUGGCGGUGUCUGUCAUGGAAAGCAGCCUACGUUGUUUCAUACGUGCAGCUGUGUCGCCUCUGAGUUAUUGUCAUUUGGAGAGUACGUGAAUGCAACGAACGUGACCGUAGUGUUUUAUUUGCAUUUCAAACAAGUGACAUUCAUUUGACACGGUUUGUAUUCCGGCUACGUAUCAUCCCAGUGCAUAACCAUAACAUUGCAACUAUA